rnacentral:rRNA from 1 species
CAUAAUAACUUUACGGAUCACAUUUUUUUUGAUGUGACAUAUCAUUCAAGUUUCUGACCUAUCAGCUUUAGACGGUAGGGUAUUGGCCUACCGUGGCUAUGACGGGUAACGGGGAAUUAGGGUUCGAUUCCGGAGAGGGAGCCUGAGAAACGGCUACCACAUCUAAGGAAGGCAGCAGACGCGCAAAUUACCCAAUCCUAAUACAGGGAGGUAGUGACAAGAAAUAACAAUACAGGACUUUUUAAUAGUUUUGUAAUUGGAAUGAGUUAAGUAUAAACCCCUUUACAAGUAUCAAUUGGAGGGCAAGUCUGGUGCCAGCAGCCGCGGUAAUUCCAGCUCCAAUAGCGUAUAUUAAAGUUGUUGCAGUUAAAAAGCUCGUAGUUGGAUUUCUGUUAAUAAUUUAUAUAGAAUAUUUCAGUAUAUUUAUAUAAUAUUAACAUAAUUCAUAUUACUAUAUUUACGUGUCUAGUAUAUGAAAUUUUACUUUGAGAAAAUUAGAGUGCUUAAAGCAGGCUUUUGCCUUGAAUACUUCAGCAUGGAAUAAUAUUAAAGAUUUUUAUCUUUCUUAUUGGUUCUAAGAUAGAAAUAAUGAUUAAUAGGGACAGUUGGGGGCGUUUGUAUUUAACAGUUAGAGGUGAAAUUCUUAGAUUUGUUAAAGACAAACUAGUGCGAAAGCAUUUGCCAAGGAUGUUUUCAUUAAUCAAGAACGAAAGUUAGGGGAUCGAAGACGAUCAGAUACCGUCGUAGUCUUAACCAUAAACUAUGCCAACUAGAGA